ACAGCUCUGAAAUUUACUAUGCAGAAAAAAAUGCUACUUUCCCUUUAUUUUUUUUAGUAGUUUACGUUUAACACAAUACUGUAUCUGCCAUUUCUUUUUGGUCUCUGCUGCUGCCUGAUUGCACGCUUCUGGUUCCAAACGAGGUGUGGGGUUGACCGGUCAGUGUAUAACUCUGGUGUUCAUAACUCUGAGGUUCUACUGCCUGAGUGCAGAUGGAUGCUGUGUUCAUCACUCCCUCAGGGAAGGAGGGAUCCGCCUGUGGAGAAGGCAUCAACUGAGAGAUCUGGGGUCUAAUGAAGCUUGGCCACAGACAUCUUGUACGAUGUCAGGCGAGUCACUGUGCCUCUCUUUACAGUGGGGUUAUAAAGGACACGCAUCUAGAAUAGCAAGCAACUGGCCCAGGGGGUGACAAUCCCAAAAGUUUAUGAGGAGGAAGAGCUCAGAUGCCGUAGAGACGGGAGUGGAGUAAGACCAUACGCGGAUAAAAGCAGACUGGGAUCUGUUCCAGAAGAGUCGAAAAGCAGGUGAACAUUCCAAUCCCUGCUCCAAAACAGACCAUCAGGAUGAUGUAUGGUUUAUUUCUCAGAAGCUGCAAAGUUCAAAAUGUAGGUUUAAAAAAAUAGGUUCCAGUUACUUGGGCAACAAAUCUCAGCACCUGCCCACCUGCUGGCCUGCCCACAACAACAGGAUAGCUGAAGGUGACAAUGACACCAUGGAAGCCAGGCAGCAUGUACACUUGCUCCUGCCUCAGCAUAGAGGGCUGGACAUGGUGACCUCUCAAGGUCAUGUCCUGCCCUACAGUUCUAGGAUGCUAUGUUUGAUUCCGGGGCUUACUUCUCUGCAUGACACUUACCAUUUUCAAGCCUGUGAAAAAUGGCUGCGAGGUGGAAUAAGUGGCGCUUGCUGAUGGUGGAGUUGGAGGGACCUUGUCGUGAACACCAACCAUGGCUAGGAUGCAGGCUGUGACUGCAGGGAUGACGUACAGUCCAAGCUAGGAAACCCAAAGCAAAGACACGUAACCAGGUUGCCUGACUCCAGUGCUACUGAAUAUAUAAACCAAAAUGACACUGCAUACUAA